GACGGAGGAGGCAAGCGUUGUCCGGAAUUAUUGGGCGUAAAGAGCGCGUAGGUGGCUUGUCAGGUCCGAUGUGAAAACCUGGGGCUCAACUCCAGGCCUGCAUCGGAAACCGGCUUGCUAGAGUCUGGGAGAGGAGAGUGGAAUUCCUGGUGUAGCGGUGAAAUGCGUAGAUAUCAGGAGGAACACCGGUAGCGAAGGCGGCUCUCUGGAACAGUACUGACGCUGAGGCGCGAAAGCUAGGGGAGCGAACAGGAUUAGAUAU
rnacentral:rRNA from 1 species